CAAACGACUCUCGGCAACGGAUAUCUCGGCUCUCGCAUCGAUGAAGAACGUAGCGAAAUGCGAUACCUGGUGUGAAUUGCAAAAUCCCACGAACCAUCGAGUCUUUGAACGCAAGUUGCGCCCGAGGCCUUCGGGCCGAGGGCACGCCUGCCUGGGCGUCACGC
rnacentral:rRNA from 1 species